UACGUAGGGGGCGAGCGUUGUCCGGAAUCAUUGGGCGUAAAGCGCGUGUAGGCGGCUUGGUAAGUCCGGUGUGAAACCUUGGGGCUCAACCCCAAGCCUGCACUGGAUACUGCCUCGCUUGAGUCCGGGAGAGGAGAGCGGAAUUCCUAGUGUAGCGGUGGAAAUGACGCAGAUAUUAGGAAGAACACCGGUGGCGAAGGCGGCUCUCUGGAACGGUACUGACGCUGAGACGCGAAAG
rnacentral:rRNA from 1 species